rnacentral:rRNA from 1 species
GUAGGGGGCAAGCGUUGUCCGGAAUUAUUGGGCGUAAAGCGCGCGCAGGCUGCCCCCCAAGUCAGAUGUGAAAUCCCUCGGCUCAACCGAGGGCCUGCAUUUGAAACUGGUGGGCUAGAGUACAGGAGAGGGAAGUGGAAUUCCUAGUGUAGCGGUGAAAUGCGCAGAUAUUAGGAAGAACACCGGUGGCGAAGGCGGCUUCCUGGACUGUUACUGACGCUGAGGUGCGAAAGCUAGGGGAGCAAACAGGGAUUAGAUACCCUGGUAGUCCUAGCCGUAAACGAUGGUCACUAGGUGUAGGGGGUUAUCAACCCCCCCCCUGUGCCCGAAGCUAACGCAUUAAGUGACCCGCCUGGGGGAGUACGGCCGCAAGGCUA